UAAUGGAACAAUCUUAAGGUUUCCAAGCACAAGAGAAGAUUUGUAACACGCAUAUCAUAUUUAUUCAAAAUUCAAACUGAAUUUGUUGGUGUAUCCGUUGGCCCUUCUUAUCCAAAACAAAACAGUUUCAAAUCUUCUAUGCUUCCUUGCACAUGAAACUCCCCUUUGAUACACACAUAUCUACAGAACAUCCAUAACAAGGAAGACACAUGUUAGAGUAUAUUUAGAACAAGCAUGGCACAAACUAUGUGGAAAACAGAGGAAAUACAUAUCUACUGUUUGGUUUCAGUCAAGGAAAUACAUAUCUACAGUUUAGCAUCCAACUUUAGCACUCAAGUUCAGGUUUGCACUUACAAAAACAAAGACAAAUCAGGUUUAGCAUCUAACUUUUGCACUCAAGUUUACUGAAGUUAGUAUACUCAAAUUAUUAUACUGAAGUUACUAACUUCAACAGAUACUUCUACUAACAGAUAUGAUGAAGUAAUCCGUAACAUAGCAGAAUCCUAGCAUAUAUGAAUCAAUUUGCUCAAGAUUUAGAAAUAUUGUCUGUGUUGAUUUGGAAAUAUCUGAAUCCUACUAAUAUGCAGCAGCACCAGCACCAGCAAAACGAGGCAGCAAAUCACAUACCAGCACCAGCACCAGCAAAACGAGGCAACGAAUCACAAUAGCAGACCAAAUUCAGUUUACUGAACCAGAUUCAGUUGAGCAACGAACAGGAAGAAACAGAGGAAAUCACAUACCUGCAGGACGACGCCGACGGCAGGCUGAGGACGAGGGUGAGGACGAGGACGGCAGGCUGAGGAUCGGG
rnacentral:lncRNA from 1 species